GCGGAGGGUGCAAGCGUUGCUCGGAUUUACUGGGCGUAAAGCGUACGCAGACGGCCACGCAGGUCGGGUGUGAAAGCCCCGGGCUCAACCCGGGAAUUGCAUUCGAAACCAUGUGGCUCGAGUGUGGGAGAGGGUAGUGGAAUUCCUGGUGUAGAGGUGAAAUUCGUAGAUAUCAGGAGGAACACCGGCGGCGAAGGCGGCUACCUGGUCCACAACUGACGUUCAGGUACGAAAGCGUGGGGAGCAAACAGGAUUAGAUACCCUGGUAGUCCACGCUGUAAACGAUGAAUGCUGGAUGUCGGGGGUAUUCACCCCCUCGGUAUCGAAGCCAACGCGCUAAGCAUUCCGCCUGGGGAGUACGGCCGCAAGGUUG
rnacentral:rRNA from 1 species